UACGAAGGGGGCUAGCGUUGCUCGGAAUCACUGGGCGGAAAGGGUGCGUAGGCGGGUCUUUAAGGCAGGGGGGAAAUCCUGGAGCUCAACUCCAGAACUGCCUUUGAUACUGAGGAUCUUGAGUACGGGAGAGGUGAGUGGAACUGCGAGUGUAGAGGUGAAAUUCGUAGAUAUUCGCAAGAACACCAGUGGCGAAGGCGGCUCACUGGCCCGUAACUGACGCUGAGGCACGAAAGCGUGGGGAGCGAACAGG
rnacentral:rRNA from 1 species